CGCGCAGGUGGCAUGGCAAGUGGCAGGCGAAAGCCCUCGGCUCAACCGAGGAACUACCUGUCAGACUGCUGUGCUUGAGGCUGGGAGGGGAGAGCGGAAUUCCUGGUGUAGCGGUGAAAUGCGUAGAUACCAGGAGGAACACCGGUGGCGAAGGCGGCUCUCUGGACCAGCUCUGACGCUCAUGCGCGAAAGCGUGGGGAGCAAACAG
rnacentral:rRNA from 1 species